GCUCAGGAUGAACGCUGGCGGCGUGCCUAAUACAUGCAAGUCGAGCGAAUGGAUUAAGAGCUUGCUCUUAUGAAGUUAGCGGCGGACGGGUGAGUAACACGUGGGUAACCUGCCCAUAAGACUGGGAUAACUCCGGGAAACCGGGGCUAAUACCGGAUAACAUUUUGAACCGCAUGGUUCGAAAUUGAAAGGCGGCUUCGGCUGUCACUUAUGGAUGGACCCGCGUCGCAUUAGCUAGUUGGUGAGGUAACGGCUCACCAAGGCAACGAUGCGUAGCCGACCUGAGAGGGUGAUCGGCCACACUGGGACUGAGACACGGCCCAGACUCCUACGGGAGGCAGCAGUAGGGAAUCUUCCGCAAUGGACGAAAGUCUGACGGAGCAACGCCGCGUGAGUGAUGAAGGCUUUCGGGUCGUAAAACUCUGUUGUUAGGGAAGAACAAGUGCUAGUUGAAUAAGCUGGCACCUUGACGGUACCUAACCAGAAAGCCACGGCUAACUACGUGCCAGCAGCCGCGGUAAUACGUAGGUGGCAAGCGUUAUCCGGAAUUAUUGGGCGUAAAGCGCGCGCAGGUGGUUUCUUAAGUCUGAUGUGAAAGCCCACGGCUCAACCGUGGAGGGUCAUUGGAAACUGGGAGACUUGAGUGCAGAAGAGGAAAGUGGAAUUCCAUGUGUAGCGGUGAAAUGCGUAGAGAUAUGGAGGAACACCAGUGGCGAAGGCGACUUUCUGGUCUGUAACUGACACUGAGGCGCGAAAGCGUGGGGAGCAAACAGGAUUAGAACC
rnacentral:rRNA from 1 species